rnacentral:rRNA from 1 species
ACGCUGGCGGCGUGCCUAAUACAUGCAAGUCGAACGCACAGCGAAAGGUGCUUGCACCUUUCAAGUGAGUGGCGAACGGGUGAGUAACACGUGGACAACCUGCCUCAAGGCUGGGGAUAACAUUUGGAAACAGAUGCUAAUACCGAAUAAAACUUAGUGUCGCACGACACAAAGUUAAAAGGCGCUUCGGCGUCACCUAGAGAUGGAUCCGCGGUGCAUUAGUUAGUUGGUGGGGUAAAGGCCUACCAAGACAAUGAUGCAUAGCCGAGUUGAGAGACUGAUCGGCCACAUUGGGACUGAGACACGGCCCAAACUCCUACGGGAGGCUGCAGUAGGGAAUCUUCCACAAUGGGCGAAAGCCUGGUGGAGCAACGCCGCGUGUGUGAUGAAGGCUUUCGGGUCGUAAAGCACUGUUGUAUGGGAAGAACAGCUAGAAUAGGAAAUGAUUUUAGUUUGACGGUACCAUACCAGAAAGGGACGGCUAAAUACGUGCCAGCAGCCGCGGUAAUACGUAUGUCCCGAGCGUUAUCCGGAUUUAUUGGGCGUAAAGCGAGCGCAGACGGUUUAUUAAGUCUGAUGUGAAAGCCCGGAGCUCAACUCCGGAAUGGCAUUGGAAACUGGUUAACUUGAGUGCAGUAGAGGUAAGUGGAACUCCAUGUGUAGCGGUGGAAUGCGUAGAUAUAUGGAAGAACACCAGUGGCGAAGGCGGCUUACUGGACUGCAACUGACGUUGAGGCUCGAAAGUGUGGGUAGCAAAC